CCGCCCCGGGCCGGGUUGGGGGUCAGGCAGGGCGGGAGGGCUGAGCGGAACCGUCGGAGGGGCGCCCUGUCCUCGCCGACGCUGUGUAACCAGCCGAGCCACCGGCGGGAACGUUGUGCGUUCCUAAGACAUGAAAGAGGCUUCUACAGUUCAGGAGUCUGGCUUGAAACGGUUUUAACGAUGUUGGUAUCUUGGCUUCCCGAUAUUUAUCUAUUUAUUUAUUUUCGUAUCAGCCUGCUAUGCUUCCAAACCUUUUCUAAGAUGAGGUUUUGACUCCAAGAAUAAUCUUCUUUGGUGCCAUGCUGUGGGUUGUGGUCCCACCAGAAUUCCAGAAAUACAGCAAGCCGCCUUCACUGCAUCAUACUUCUGUCUUCACUGUGUCAGUGUAUUUGCUGAAAUGGUUAACUGGAUCCAGAAGUCAUGUGUUCAUAAUAUAUCUAGUAAAGUCCCACCAUACCCUUUCAAGAGCACAC
ensembl:lncRNA